AGUGAACGCUGGCGGCGUGCCUAAUACAUGCAAGUAGAACGCUGACUACUUUAGCUUGCUAGAGUAGAAGGAGUUGCGAACGGAUGAGUAACGCGUAGGUAACCUGCCUACUAGCGGGGGAUAACUAUUGGAAACGAUAGCUAAUACCGCAUAACAGUGUUUAACACAUGUUAGAUGCUUGAAAGAUGCAAUUGCAUCACUAGUAGAUGGACCUGCGUUGUAUUAGCGAGUUGGUGGGGUAACGGCCCACCAAGGCGACGAUACAUAGCCGACCCGAGAGGGUGAGCGGCCACACUGGGACUGAGACACGGCCCAGACUCCUACGGGAGGCAGCAGUAGGUAAUCUUCGGCAAUGGGGGCAACCCUGACCGAGCAACGCCGCGUGAGUGAAGAAGGUUUUCGGAUCGUAAAGCUCUGUUGUAAGAGAAGAACGUGUGUGAGAGUGGAAAGUUCACACAGUGACGGUAACUUACCAGAAAGGGACGGCUAACUACGUGCCAGCCGCCGCGGUAA
rnacentral:rRNA from 1 species